AACCCCUGGCAAUGGGCAGAGACACCUUGGUGGUGGUGGUGUUCUUAUACCAGUCAGGAGCAGAGCAGAAGGCAGUCCUUUGUCAUUCUAGCCUGAUGCCUGGCUUGGUGGCCAGAGCUAUUUCACGCCUAGGACUCACAA